AUAUUUUUUCCUUGUCAAAAAAAUUGCCGCCGAUAGUUGAGUUGUAUUUUUGGUUUCCAAUAUAUAUUUACAUUUUAAUUGCCACUAUACAAGAGUUUCAUUUAUUACGACCAUAGAUAUUGUUCACUAUUUUUCAUACAGGCCGCCACUGACUGUACUCUGUAAAUGUUUCGUUAAUUAAUGGUUGCACCAGCACUCCAUUCGCUCUCACCGCCUUGCGUUCUAUAGCAGGAUGCAAUUAGUGGAAGAAUGGAGGCGUCGAGAGAAUAAAAUGAAAAAUGUUCUGAAACUGUGAGGAGCGAGCGUCUCUUUGUUAUCGACAUCAAACAGAUCGCAUCCGUAAUGAGUUCAAAGUUAGAAUGCUUCAGUAGACGAAUGCGCCAUGUCCUGGCAACUAACAUGGCUUCCAACACCAAAUGAAUAAGCCACAACAAAAUCGGUCGCCUUGCCAUCUCGUAUUGGGCAUCAUUAAAACGCCUCCACCACCAGCGCAACAUAACCUAAAUGAAAGGGACGAUACAAUCUUGUUCAGGGAAAAUAAACAGAAGCAUUUGAUGGGUGAGAGGGGUGAGAGGGGGGAGAGGGGGAGAUAACGACCUGUUGAUGCCGGCGACGUCGCUCGCAGAGUGGGCCGUGUCGGCACUCAUUCGCUUUACAAGCCGGUCUUCACUUGAAGUCGGUUUAUUCGCACUUCAAUACUCAAUAUUUUUAUUGCAUUCCAUAAAGUUGACAUGGUGUUAUAAAUUAUAUAAAAAAGUACUUCACUUUGAGGUUUACUAAUUGUAUCUGUAGAUGAACAUGUAAUUUUGGAAAUGAUCAAGAACCUGUAUGAUACAGAUUGAUAGUUUUAAUAUACCAACCAAUCAAAUUUAUUUAUAAAAUCUACUAUAUCUGUAAGAAUGAUUUCCCGGAAGGACGUUACAAUUACUUUGUUGAUUUUGAAA